CUUGCACCCCAUAAGAGGUCCAGCCUGCCCAGUGAAAUAUUCAACGGCCGCGGUAUCCUAACCGUGCGAAGGUAGCGUAAUCACUUGCUCUCUAAAUCAGGACUAGUAUGAACGGCACCACGAGGGUUCUACUGUCUCCUUUUUCCAAUUAGUGAACUUAAUCUUCCCGUGAAGAAGCCGGAAUAACCCUAUAAGACGAGAAGACCCUUUGGAGCUUUAAACAUCUUAGCACUUGCAUCACAUCUUCAUAUUUCUGAAUACUAUAACUCCCGCACGAUGACUAAAAGUUUUAGGUUGGGGUGACCGCGGAGUAAAAUAAACCCUCCACACUGUAAGAAUCUCUUAAAUCUUAACUAAGAGCCACACCUCUAAGUAUCAGCAUACUGACAUCUAUUGACCCAAUAUAUUUGAUCAAUGAAC
rnacentral:rRNA from 1 species